ACCGGUGGGAAUUAGCUGUGUUAAACCUUACUCCUGCAGCCCUACCCCUCUUAUUUCUCCCUCUUUCCCUUCUUCUUUCUUUCUCUUUCCUUUUCGUCCUCUCUUUCAGUCUCUCAGUCUCUCCUCAAUGGCAAAACAAGAUCUAACCACUACUCUCUUUCUCUCUUUGCACCAUUUUUAUUACCUUCACUAACCUCCAUUGUUUCUCACAAAUGGCGUCUUCUCCUUGCUCUUCCAUCUCCUCUUCCUUUGACGAAUUUGACGACGAUUCUAUUCUCCUAAUUCGAAGAUGGCGAACCCCAUAAACCAAGUGAUACAAGAAUCCGGCCGUCAAAACCCCAAGGCGGCUUCCGCGGUGGUCCGUGAUGGUGAGCACUACGAAGACAUGUUGGCUAAUUUACAAAACAUGAAGAUACCCUUCAGUGGUGAAGAAUGCUUCGGACAAUACGUAGAUUUAGACGAGUUCCACAACAGCUUUUUACCAGAAUGAAGCUGAGGUUGGGGAGGCACUUUCUGAAGCAAUUCAAGUUGGGCUUGUCAAAAGGGAGGAUCUUUUCAUAACCACUAAGCUGUGGAGCUUUGACCAUGGACAUGUACAUGAAGCGUGCAAAGACAGUUUGAAGCAACUUCGACUUGAUUAUAUGGAUCUGUACCUAGUUCACUUACCUGUAGCCACAAAGCAUACUGAAGAUCAUGUAGGAAUAAUGCAAAAAUUUGUUUAACUAAGAUAUGGGGCUGCUUCUGUGCUGUCGUGCUGCUCCUUAUAUGCGCUGUUGCUGCUGUUCAUCACUUCUGCUACUGUGUAGCUGCAUAUUUUUUUUACCUUGUAUUUUAUUUUAAUUUUUUAGACAAAAAUUGUAA